UUCCUGGUGGUCCAGUGGUUAAGACUCCAUGCUUUCAAUGCAUGGGGUGCAGGUUCAAUUCCUGGUCAGGAAA
rnacentral:tRNA from 1 species